GUGUUUGAAUCCCUAUGCAGGAAAGCGUAUUAUUUUUUUGCUCAGAUUUUGAGAUAGAGUUAAGUAAUAGGGAGAUUUUGAGUAGCGGAUGUGUAGUGGGAAUUAGGGUAGAAGAUUAAGGGAUUUUGGGGGUUAUCGAGAUUUUAUUUUAUUUUAUUUCCAAAAAUCAAAUUUUGACUCUCUUUUUCAAAAAAAAUUAUGUCAUCUAUUCU
rnacentral:lncRNA from 1 species